GUAUAGGUUUUUUUUAUAUUACAUUCUGUUAACAUACAUUGGGGUAAAUGAAGAAGCAACAUAGACCUGAAAAGGUCUACAAAAGGUGCACAGGUGGAGAUAUAAAAAUGACAAGGCGUGCACAUGCUCCCUAGAGAACCAGCAACAACCCAUCAGGUUUAUUUCAAUAAUGAUCCUUCCGCAGGUUCACCUACGGAAA
rnacentral:misc_RNA from 1 species